AUACGGAGGAUCCGAGCGUUAUCCGGAUUUAUUGGGUUUAAAGGGAGCGUAGGUGGGAUAUUAAGUCAGCUGUGAAAGUUUGGGGCUCAACCUUAAAAUUGCAGUUGAUACUGGUUUCCUUGAGUACGGUACAGGUGGGCGGAAUUUGUGGUGUAGAGGUGAAAUGCUUAGAUAUCACGAAGAACUCCGAUCGCGAAGGCAGCUCACCGGGCCGGAACUGACACUGAUGCUCGAAAGUGCGGGUAUCAAACAGGAUUAGAUACCCUGGUAGUCCGCACAGUAAACGAUGAAUACUCGCUGUUUGCGAUACACUGUAAGCGGCCAAGCGAAAGCGUUAAGUAUUCCACCUGGGGAGUACGCCGGCAACGGUGAAACUCAAAUGAAUUGACGGGG
rnacentral:rRNA from 1 species